CUACUCAUGAUGAUGUGGAGGAGAGUUCAGUGCACACUACAGAACGGACGUUAGCCGAGCCGAGCGACAGAAAGAUAGAGAUGGCGGAUAAAAAACAAAAGAGGAAACCUUGAUUUCUAAUGUCAACAUUGGCUACCAGAAAUCACUUACCCCACCAUUAAGUGGAAUUCGCUGUUGCUAUCGUAAUUACAGACCAUCCCUGGCUGUGCAUCAUGUGCAUGUGUUGCUGCCGUAAAGCAGGCCGCACUUUUUGCGGAAAUCCGUACCCGCUCACCAAACUUACAGUGUUUGACGUAAUAAAGGGGUGCAAGAGAAAGAAACGGAAGCCGGAAGGAUUUUGAAACUGAUAUUUCAAGACAUAUGUGAACAGAACAAUCCCAAUCAGAAAGGCUGAUGCAGGAACUGUGUAGAGUAUCCAAUCAGCAUCAGAAAGAAGACCUUGAUGUACACGCAAAGAUGGGCAAACCAGAACUGACAGUGAAAGAGAGGAGGAGAAAGA